rnacentral:lncRNA from 10 species
CCGGGUCAGAGGAAGGGGCAGGUCCAAGGACACGCGGGUCUGGUCCUGGGCAAGAACCGCCCCCUCUCCGGGCCUGCUUCAGUCUUCCUUUGCAGAACAACGGGCCAGGCCCCUUCCCUCUGCCCCCGGGUGCUUGAAGUCUAGCCCCAUCCUGGUCCAAUGCGCUCUUGGUAGCCUCCUUUCCCAGCUGCCCGCCCGCCGCCAUGCCGCCCUUACUGCCCCUGCGCCUGUGCCGGCUGUGGCCCCGCAACCCUCCCUCCCGGCUCCUCGGAGCGGCCGCCGGGCAGCGGAGGCUCCCAGGUUUGUCUCAGGUAACCCUCGCCUUCCCUGCUGAGGAUCAGAGAUAGAGAAGACCCCCAAGGUCAUACACCGAUUUAAGCGGCAGAGGAGGAAGUUUGAGUCCAGGUCCAGACCCAGUACUUAUUAUGAACUGUUGGGGGUGCAUCCUGGUGCCAGCACUGAGGAAGUUAAACGAGCUUUCUUCUCCAAGUCCAAAGAGCUGCACCCAGACCGGGACCCUGGGAACCCAAGCCUGCACAGCCGCUUUGUGGAGCUGAGCGAGGCAUACCGUGUGCUCAGCCGUGAGCAGAGCCGCCGCAGCUAUGAUGACCAGCUCCGCUCAGGUAGUCCCCCAAAGUCUCCACGAACCACAGUCCAUGACAAGUCUGCCCACCAAACACACAGCUCCUGGAC